AGUUCUACAGGGAGUGCGACAUCUACGGCACAGUGGACUACAUAUUCGGCAACGCAGCGGUGGUGUUCCAGAACUGCAACGUCUACUCCCGGUUGCCCCUCCCUGGCCAGAUCAACACCAUCACCGCGCAAGGCCGGACCGACCCGAACCAGAACACCGGCACGUCGAUGCAGUCCUGCAACUUCCUCGACGCAGCUGAUCUGGCCGCCACGGCCCUCUGCCUGGAAUCACAGGAGUCGCCGAUGACGUACCUCGGCCGACCGUGGAAGCCUUACUCGAGGACCGUGGUCAUGCAAUCUUACAUGGAUUCGCUGAUCGAGCCAGCAGGUUGGGUGCAAUGGAACAGCGAUGACCUCGCACUGAACACGUUGUACUACGCAGAGUACAACAACAGCGGUCCCGGUUCCGGCACGGCCGGCCGCGUCGACUGGCCAGGAUACCUUGUGAUCAGCGCCAACGACGCCAUCAAUUUUACUGUCAGCAACUUCAUUUCG
rnacentral:lncRNA from 1 species